GGGAUGUUUCUGCUGUAGAUGGCGUUUGAGCUUGGAUGGUUUCAUGCACUCAUUGGAGAGAAUCUCUUGACAGAGAACACUGGGGUCUCUCGACUCCCAACUUUAACAUACAGAGCUACAAAGGUCUGGUCACCGUGCACCUGCAUUUUAUGGACCAACAGAGCUGAGAUUUUGGCAUGAGGAUGAGCCUGUACCAUCUUAUCCAGGCCUUCCAUCCACACUUGAUGGAAAGAUCACAGGCAUGCUGCUUGAGAUUGACAACUCUGAGCUACUGCACAUGCUCGAGUCUCCAGAGUCUCUGCACUC